GACCACUCUCCAUGCUAUUUCACCAUGUUCUCUGCCCACAAAGGCCGACCUAUGUGGACUGCAACAGUUGCUGCCUUUCUAGGAAAAGCCAUCCACCAUGCCAUGAAGAUACUCAAGCAGCCCCAGGGAAAGGUCCAUGUGGAGGGGAACUGAAUUCACUUCCCCCUUAUUAUGAGACACGGGUUCGAGCCCUGGCCGGGGGAGAUCCCACAUGCCGCAGAGCAACUAAGCCCAUGCGCCACAACUGCUGAGCCUGCGCGCCUAGAGCCCGUGCUCUGCAACAAGAGAAGCCACAACAAUGAGAAGCCCGCGCACUGCAACGAAGAGUAGCCCCCGCUCGCCGCAACUAGAGAAAGCCCGUGCACACCAACGAAGACCCA